rnacentral:rRNA from 1 species
GACGGAGGGGGCAAGCGUUGUUCAGAAUUACUGGGCGUAAAGGGCUCGUAGGUGGCCAACUAAGUCAGACGUGAAAUCCCUCAGCUUAACUGGGGAACUGCGUCUGAUACUGGAUGGCUUGAGUUUGGGAGAGGGAUGCGGAAUUCCCGGUGUAGUGGUGGAAUGCGUAGAGAUCGGGAGGAACACCAGUGGCGAAAGCGGCUCUCUGGUCCAAAACUGACGCUGAGGGGCGAAAGCGUGGGGAGCGAACGGG